UUAAGACGGAUUUGUUCUCCAGGUCUGAGGCCGUCGACACGGUCUUCUUACAGUUAUGUGAGAUGCACGAGACGGACAUGACGCGCCCCAUUCAUCAGCAGAACGCAAACAGAUUCGGGGAUUUCCCAAAGGUGCAUCCCUUGAUGAUGCAGAUGUGGGGCCGGCCCGGUGCGAAUGUGCCCUCAGUGCAGCUGUGUCUGUUCCUAGGAGCAACUCAGCAACUCAGACACAAAGCCACCAAACUCGAGCUGGGAAGGGCCAGUGUCACCAGGACCCGUGACCGGCAUUCCACAUUCAUACUCCAGGAGAGUGACUGCUGAUCAUCGUGAAGCAGGAUUCAUCUUGUGAUUAUAAGAAUAUUUUUUGGAAUAUAUGUUUAUCCAACCUGGUAAAAUGCAAUCCAGAUUCAGAGGGACAUUUGCUUUAUCCUGAACUCAAUUGCAGGAAAACUCAGAUCCCUGCUGAAGGGAUCUGAGUUUAUGGGUAAGUCCCACAGUCUCUAAGGGAAAGAGCCAAAUCUGCUGCAGCUCUCAAAGAGCUCCCCUCACCCCCAGCCGUAACACUUGGGCUCACUUUGCUCUAAGCACGCAGGUUCCUUGUGGUCCUCAGGCCCUCCGAAGAGGUUCCGCCUUCAGGGUCUUCUCCUGCGACGUGAGUAUCAGUAAUCCUGUCUGGCAGGAAGAGUAACCUUCCCCCUCACGUCUGAUAACAGUUCGGUCCAUCUACGUGAACCUUGUUUUGUUAUCCAAACCCUGCCUGUUUUCAGGAUGAACUCAGGGUAAUUUUAUUUCCACUUAGCUCUCAGGAAACAUUACUGUUCAGAGCAUUUCUACUCAAAGACGUUCUUAGUAAACAAUCCAGGAUGUUUUGUUUGAUUAUUUUGUGAUCAUUUUUUAAAACUCGAGAAUAUCAGUCUUGUUCAGCAGCCUUGAAAACCACAGCUCCUUGAAUAGGAGUUAUUUAUAAGGUUAGAAUGAAACUUUGACUCUCCGGCAAUUUGAUGGGUUAGACAUCAAAAGCCCACUAGACCGUGAGAUUCUUCAUGUCAGGGCCUGGAAUUUGAUGCUUUUGCUGACACCAAGUAGAUGAAAGGAGGAUAGAAUUAUUCAGUAGGAUUAUUUGACUGAAUGACCCCAACCUCGUAGGGAGGAUCUUCUCAGGAAGCAAGUGAGUGGCGGAGGCUAAGACAUAGUGGGGGAGGGAGGGUUGACAUGAGAGCACACACAGAGGUGGGUGCAAGUCUGCAGGGGCUGGUCUCGUCCCUGGUGAAUGGGCUGCCUGUUUGCUGGUCACAUCGGACAGUAUCCACUAUACCAGUGCUUACUCAAAACUGAAC
rnacentral:lncRNA from 1 species